UGCAAAUGAUGUCUUUUCUCACGAUGGUCUUCCAAGCCUUUGGCGCUUUGACGACAUUGCCUUAAUGGCGACACUGAUGCAGUUUC